rnacentral:piRNA from 1 species
UGACAGUGUCUUCCUUACAGUGUAC